AUGGGGUGACUGCGUACCUUUUGUAUAAUGGGUCAGCGACUUAUAUUCUGUAGCAAGGUUAACCGAAUAGGGGAGCCGAAGGGAAACCGAGUCUUAACUGGGCGUUAAGUUGCAGGGUAUAGACCCGAAACCCGGUGAUCUAGCCAUGGGCAGGUUGAAGGUUGGGUAACACUAACUGGAGGACCGAACCGACUAAUGUUGAAAAAUUAGCGGAUGACUUGUGGCUGGGGGUGAAAGGCCAAUCAAACCGGGAGAUAGCUGGUUCUCCCCGAAAGCUAUUUAGGUAGCGCCUCGUGAAUUCAUCUCCGGGGGUAGAGCACUGUUUCGGCAAGGGGGUCAUCCCGACUUACCAACCCGAUGCAAACUGCGAAUACCGGAGAAUGUUAUCACGGGAGACACACGGCGGGUGCUAACGUCCGUCGUGAAGAGGGAAACAACCCAGACCGCCAGCUAAGGUCCCAAAGUCAUGGUUAAGUGGGAAACGAUGUGGGAAGGCCCAGACAGCCAGGAUGUUGGCUUAGAAGCAGCCAUCAUUUAAAGAAAGCGUAAUAGCUCACUGGUCGAGUCGGCCUGCGCGGAAGAUGUAACGGGGCUAAACCAUGCACCGAAGCUGCGGCAGCGACGCUUAUGCGUUGUUGGGUAGGGGAGCGUUCUGUAAGCCUGCGAAGGUGUGCUGUGAGGCAUGCUGGAGGUAUCAGAAGUGCGAAUGCUGACAUAAGUAACGAUAAAGCGGGUGAAAAGCCCGCUCGCCGGAAGACCAAGGGUUCCUGUCCAACGUUAAUCGGGGCAGGGUGAGUCGACCCCUAAGGCGAGGCCGAAAGGCGUAGUCGAUGGGAAACAGGUUAAUAUUCCUGUACUUGGUGUUACUGCGAAGGGGGGACGGAGAAGGCUAUGUUGGCCGGGCGACGGUUGUCCCGGUUUAAGCGUGUAGGCUGGUUUUCCAGGCAAAUCCGGAAAAUCAAGGCUGAGGCGUGAUGACGAGGCACUACGGUGCUGAAGCAACAAAUGCCCUGCUUCCAGGAAAAGCCUCUAAGCAUCAGGUAACAUCAAAUCGUACCCCAAACCGACACAGGUGGUCAGGUAGAGAAUACCAAGGCGCUUGAGAGAACUCGGGUGAAGGAACUAGGCAAAAUGGUGCCGUAACUUCGGGAGAAGGCACGCUGAUAUGUAGGUGAAGCGACUUGCUCGUGGAGCUGAAAUCAGUCGAAGAUACCAGCUGGCUGCAACUGUUUAUUAAAAACACAGCACUGUGCAAACACGAAAGUGGACGUAUACGGUGUGACGCCUGCCCGGUGCCGGAAGGUUAAUUGAUGGGGUUAGCGGUAACGCGAAGCUCUUGAUCGAAGCCCCGGUAAACGGCGGCCGUAACUAUAACGGUCCUAAGGUAGCGAAAUUCCUUGUCGGGUAAGUUCCGACCUGCACGAAUGGCGUAAUGAUGGCCAGGCUGUCUCCACCCGAGACUCAGUGAAAUUGAACUCGCUGUGAAGAUGCAGUGUACCCGCGGCAAGACGGAAAGACCCCGUGAACCUUUACUAUAGCUUGACACUGAACAUUGAGCCUUGAUGUGUAGGAUAGGUGGGAGGCUUUGAAGUGUGGACGCCAGUCUGCAUGGAGCCGACCUUGAAAUACCACCCUUUAAUGUUUGAUGUUCUAACGUUGGCCCCUGAUCGGGGUUGCGGACAGUGUCUGGUGGGUAGUUUGACUGGGGCGGUCUCCUCCUAAAGAGUAACGGAGGAGCACGAAGGUUGGCUAAUCCUGGUCGGACAUCAGGAGGUUAGUGCAAUGGCAUAAGCCAGCUUGACUGCGAGCGUGACGGCGCGAGCAGGUGCGAAAGCAGGUCAUAGUGAUCCGGUGGUUCUGAAUGGAAGGGCCAUCGCUCAACGGAUAAAAGGUACUCCGGGGAUAACAGGCUGAUACCGCCCAAGAGUUCAUAUCGACGGCGGUGUUUGGCACCUCGAUGUCGGCUCAUCACAUCCUGGGGCUGAAGUAGGUCCCAAGGGUAUGGCUGUUCGCCAUUUAAAGUGGUACGCGAGCUGGGUUUAGAACGUCGUGAGACAGUUCGGUCCCUAUCUGCCGUGGGCGCUGGAGAACUGAGGGGGGCUGCUCCUAGUACGAGAGGACCGGAGUGGACGCAUCACUGGUGUUCGGGUUGUCAUGCCAAUGGCACUGCCCGGUAGCUAAAUGCGGAAGAGAUAAGUGCUGAAAGCAUCUAAGCACGAAACUUGCCCCGAGAUGAGUUCUCCCUGACNNNNGUCCUGAAGGAACGUUGAAGACGACGACGUUGAUAGGCCGGGUGUGUAAGCGCAGCGAUGCGUUGAGCUAACCGGUACUAAUGAACCGUGAGGCUUAACCUU
rnacentral:rRNA from 1 species